rnacentral:rRNA from 1 species
AGUGAACGCUGGCGGUAUGCCUAACACAUGCAAGUCGAACGGCAACACAGUAAGAGCUUGCUAUUACGGGUGGCGGGGGGCGGACGGGUGAGGAAUACAUCGGAAUCUACUUUUUCGUGGGGGAUAACGUAGGGAAACAUACGCUACUACCGCAUAAGACCUACGGGUGAAAGCAGGGGAUCGUGGGGACUUGCCCGAUUGAAUGAGCCGAUGUCGGAUUAGCUAGUUGGUGGGGUAAAGGCCCACCAAGGCGACGAUCCGUAGCUGGUCUGAGAGGAUGAUCAGCCACACUGGAACUGAGACACGGUCCAGACUCCUACGGGAGGCAGCAGUGGGGAAUAUUGGACAAUGGGCGCAAGCCUGAUCCAGCCAUACCGCGUGGGUGAAGAAGGCCUUCGGGUUGUAAAGCCCUUUUGUUGGGAAAGAAAAGCAGCAGGUUAAUACCCCGCUGUUCUGACGGUACCCAAAGAAUAAGCACCGGCUAACUUCGUG